rnacentral:misc_RNA from 1 species
UUAGGGGAGACCACCACAAGCCAAAGAGAUGCAACAUCUUUGUUGGAUGGCAAAGCAUCAUCUACAGGUACUGGUGUGAGAGCUAGAGAGGAAUGUAGAAGUAGAUUCCGGCAAGUUGCCGAAAGUUCUCAUUUAGAUAUACCCAGAGUAGCGGAAGAUGGACUUCAUGGUGAUCAAAUUCUGGAUAAGGAUCGCGAUAGAAGUGCCAGUAGGCAUAUGCAUGGGGAUGAACGUUGGACAGAUGAAGAGCCACCUGAUUCUAUGGCUAUGGAUGAUGAUAAUUGUCAGGCAGAUGGAGAUGGCGAAGAAAGAUGGCAUAUUAGAGAUUUACGUGACGGAAAGGCAAAGCCUGGUAACAGAUCCGUAAGGGAAGACGAAUAUGAUGAGAGUGCUAGAGAUGAGUUGUCAAGACGCAGGGUGAAUCGUGGGUGGACAAGACACAGAGGACGGGGAAGGGUGACUGAGGGUGUUCCGGAUAAUGAAGCAGCUUUGACCUCUCCAGGGUCUGCUAGUAGAUUGAGUGGGCAAUCUCGCAGUAGAAAUUUAAACCGGAAUCAAGAGUUGAGAAGAGCACCUGAUAACAAGAAGAAUUUGAGUAGGACAAAUGUUGAUGGUUUUGGGAUGGAG